UUGGAGUCACAGAGCUAAAGUAUUAAUAAUGAGUAUAUAAUUUCUAGGAAUCCUGAUGAUUUGAUUGCUCUUCUCAGAGAGCAGAAACAGAAAAGAAGGGGAAGGGAAAGAAGAACCAGGGAAGCUCAUUAUCCAGAGUGAAUGUUCUCUUGGUGAAUCAGAAGUAGGACUUCUCUGAUCAGAGUUAUUGACUUGGUCUGCCCCUGGCAUCCAUUUUGAACAUUAAGAUCACCCUGCUGUAAGUCUGUUUUGGUCUCCUCCCUCUGCUUUCUUUGCUUCAGAUAAUUAAUAGAGAACUCUAUAAGUAUUGUGAGGGAUAAGAAGAAAAUGAAUUGUUUUUCUCUUCCAUUGUAGUCGAGGCUUCCCAAUCAAUUUUUUUUAUUUUUAGUUUUUGAAUUGAAAAUUUUUAAUUAAUUAAUUUA
rnacentral:lncRNA from 1 species